GAUCCAGACUUUGAUUCUGGCUCAGGAUGAACGCUAGCUACAGGCUUAACACAUGCAAGUCGAGGGGAAACGAUAGAGAAAGCUUGCUUUUUCUAGGCGUCGACCGGCGCACGGGUGAGUAACGCGUAUCCAACCUGCCCACCACUUGGGGAUAACCUUGCGAAAGUAAGACUAAUACCCAAUGAUAUCUCAAGAAGACAUCUGAAAGAGAUUAAAGAUUUAUCGGUGAUGGAUGGGGAUGCGUCUGAUUAGCUUGUUGGCGAGGUAACGGCCCACCAAGGCGACGAUCAGUAGGGGUUCUGAGAGGAAGGUCCCCCACAUUGGAACUGAGACACGGUCCAAACUCCUACGGGAGGCAGCAGUGAGGAAUAUUGGUCAAUGGGCGAGAGCCUGAACCAGCCAAGUAGCGUGCGGGGUGACGGCCCUAUGGGUUGUAAACUGCUUUUAUAAGGGAAUAAAGUGAGCCUCGUGAGGCUUUUUGCAUGUACCUUAUGAAUAAGGACCGGCUAAUUCCGUGCCAGCAGCCGCGGUAAUACGGAAGGUCCGGGCGUUAUCCGGAUUUAUUGGGUUUAAAGGGAGCGUAGGCCGGAGAUUAAGCGUGUUGUGAAAUGUAGAUGCUCAACAUCUGCACUGCAGCGCGAACUGGUUUCCUUGAGUACGCACAAAGUGGGCGGAAUUCGUGGUGUAGCGGUGAAAUGCUUAGAUAUCACGAAGAACUCCGAUUGCGAAGGCAGCUCACUGGAGCGCAACUGACGCUGAAGCUCGAAAGUGCGGGUAUCGAACAGGAUUAGAUACCCUGGUAGUCCGCACGGUAAACGAUGGAUGCCCGCUGUUGGUCUGAAUAGGUCAGCGGCCAAGCGAAAGCAUUAAGCAUCCCACCUGGGGAGUACGCCGGCAACGGUGCAACUCAAAGGAAUUGACGG
rnacentral:rRNA from 2 species